CAAGCUUGAUACUGGUUGUUGUAGUAACUCAUUGUUGAAAUCAAGAUAUGAUAUCACCUCUGAAAAACUUGUUUGGUAUAUGAAAAAACCAAAUGAAUGAAAUAAAAUAUUGUGUUCUAUAGAGUUGGCUAGUUGUUCUUUAAGGUCUUCGUCAAUAUUAAUCUAUUGGACGGGUGGUGCAUAAGAUUAAGAGGGCGGAAGAGGAUACAUCUGCUUGACUUUUACAAAGAAAUGGCUGCUUCUUAAUGCAUGGAAAAACUUUAGGGCC